rnacentral:rRNA from 1 species
UACGGAGGGGGCUAGCGUUGUUCGGAAUUACUGGGCGUAGAGCGCACGUAGGCGGCUUUGUAAGUUAGAGGUGAAAGCCCGGAGCUCAACUCCGGAAUUGCCUUUAAGACUGCAUCGCUAGAAUUGUGGAGAGGUAAGUGGAAUUCCGAGUGUAGAGGUGAAAUUCGUAGAUAUUCGGAGGAACACCAGUGGCGAAGGCGACUUACUGGACACAUAUUGACGCUGAGGUGCGAAAGCGUGGGGAGCAAACAGG